rnacentral:rRNA from 1 species
UACGGAGGGUGCAAGCGUUAUCCGGAUUCACUGGGUUUAAAGGGUGCGUAGGCGGCCAGUUAAGUCAGGGGUGAAAGACGGUAGCUCAACUAUCGCAGUGCCUUUGAUACUGAUUGGCUUGAAUGUACUUGAGGUAGGCGGAAUGUGACAAGUAGCGGUGAAAUGCAUAGAUAUGUCACAGAACACCAAUUGCGAAGGCAGCUUACUAAAGUAUGAUUGACGCUGAGGCACGAAAGCGUGGGGAUCAAACAGG